GACGUAGGGUGCGAAGCGUUAUCCGGAAUUACUGGGCGUAAAGCGUGCGCAGGCGGCGCGUUAAGACAGGUGUGAAAGCCCCGAGCUUAACUUGGGAAUUGCGCUUGUGACUGGCGUGCUGGAGUGUGGCAGAGGGAGGUGGAAUUCCACGUGUAGCAGUGAAAUGCGUAGAGAUGAUGGAGGAACACCGAUGGCGAAGGCAGCCUCCUGGGCCAGCACUGACGCUCA
rnacentral:rRNA from 1 species